rnacentral:rRNA from 1 species
UACGGAGGGUGCAAGCGUUAAUCGGAAUUACUGGGCGUAAAGCGCACGCAGGCGGUCUGUUAAGUCAGAUGUGAAAUCCCCGGGCUUAACCUGGGAACUGCAUUUGAAACUGGCAGGCUUGAGUCUUGUAGAGGGGGGUAGGAAUUCCAGGUGUAGCGGUGAAAUGCGUAGAGAUCUGGAGGAAUACCGGUGGCGAAAGGCGGCCCCCUGGACAAAGACUGACGCUCAGGUGCGAAAGCGUGGGGAGCAAACAGG